AAAAGACAGUAGUGGUAUUGAGAAAACCAGAAUUUAGAUCAAUUAGUUCCAAAGCUUAAUCUUUACAUUGGAAAGUCUGAGUCACAUUCUAAGAGAAAGAAAGAGCUACUACAGAGUUCUGAUCGAAGUGAUAAGAUCUAUCUUUUGUUUUCACAGGAUCAUUUGAUUCCAUUUGAAAGUGGACUGUAUGAUUUAGAUCUUCAGUGUCUUUAUCCCACAGAGGCUGUGUGUUGAAGGCUUGGCACCCAGCUGAUGGUACUGUUGGAAGGUGGUAGAACUUACAGAGAUGGAAAACUUCCAGUAUGGCCAAAUAAGGCCCCUGGAAUAAUUUGGCACAUGAUGGGACAGAUGCAUAUGCUUCUUGUCUGCUGCCUGGGGAUGUCUGCUAUAGUGAUAAUUUAGUAUGGCCCUUGAAUGAUGUUAUAAAUAUCCAAAUGUCUCUUGGCAGAAAAAAGGUUUCCUGUCCCUUCUAAGAGCACACUAAUUAUG